GCCAGGAUGGGAUAGUGGUUUGAGUGUUAGACUAGGAUUCUGAGAGAUCAGGGUUCAAAUCCUUGCUCGGCCA